GUGCCAGCCGCCGCGGUAAUACGGAGGAUGCAAGCGUUAUCCGGAAUGAUUGGGCGUAAAGCGUCCGCAGGUGGCGAUGUAAGUCUGCUGUUAAAGAGUGAGGCUCAACCUCAUAAGAGCAGUGGAAACUACAUAGCUAGAGUACGUUCGGGGCAGAGGGAAUUCCUGGUGUAGCGGUGAAAUGCGUAGAGAUCAGGAAGAACACCAGUGGCGAAGGCGCUCUGCUAGGCCGUAACUGACACUGAGGGACGAAAGCUAGGGGAGCGAAUGGGAUUAGAUACCCCAGUAGUCCUAGCCGUAAACGAUGGAUACUAGGCGUGGCUUGUAUCGACCCGAGCCGUGCCGUAGCUAACGCGUUAAGUAUCCCGCCUGGGGAGUACGCCGGCAACGGUGAAACUCAAAGGAAUUGACGGGGGCCCGCACGAGCGGUGGAGUAUGUGGUUUAAUUCGAUGCAACGCGAAGAACCUUACCAAGGCUUGACAUGUCGCGAAUCUUCUUGAAAGGGAAGAGUGCCUUCGGGAGCGCGAACACAGGUGGUGCAUGGCUGUCGUCAGCUCGUGUCGUGAGAUGUUGGGUUAAGUCCCGCAACGAGCGCAACCCUCGUUUUUAGUUGCCAGCAUUAAGUUGGGCACUCUAGAGAGACUGCCGGUGACAAACCGGAGGAAGGUGGGGAUGACGUCAAGUCAGCAUGCCCCUUACGCCUUGGGCUACACACGUACUACAAUGCUCCGGACAGAGGGCAGCAAGCAUGCGAAUGCAAGCAAAUCCCGUAAACCGGAGCUCAGUUCAGAUCGCAGGCUGCAACUCGCCUGCGUGAAGGAGGAAUCGCUAGUAAUUGCAGGUCAGCAUACUGCAGUGAAUUCGUUCCCGGGCCUUGUACACACCGCCCGUCACACCAUGGAAGCUGGUAGUGCCCGAAGUCAUUACUCCAACCUUUCGGGGGGGAGGAUGCCUAAGGCAGGACUGGUGACUGGGGUGAAGUCGUAACAAGGUAACC
rnacentral:rRNA from 1 species